AGAAGCUUAAGUUAUAUAUAAACUAGUAGCCUUCAAAGCCACCAAAAAAGACCCAUUUAGCUUCUG
rnacentral:tRNA from 1 species